rnacentral:rRNA from 1 species
UACAGAGGUCUCAAGCGUUGUUCGGAUUCAUUGGGCGUAAAGGGUGCGUAGGUGGCGCGCUAAGUCAGGUGUGAAAUUUCGGAGCUUAACUCCGAAACUGCAUUUGAUGCUGGCGUGCUUGAGGACUGGAGAGGAGACUGGAAUUCAUGGUGUAGCAGUGAAAUGCGUAGAGAUCAUGAGGAAGACCAGUGGCGAAGGCGGGUCUCUGGACAGUUCCUGACACUGAGGCACGAAGGCCAGGGGAGCAAACGGG